UCGAAUUUGUGUUGAUCCUACUGCCUCAGCCUCCCAAGUUCUGGGAUUACAGGCAUGCACCACCACACCCGGCACCUACUUUUGCUAUUUUACUACUGUGAGCUUGACUUUCUCUGUGUCCUUCAGAGACUUUCCAGUGAAGUUUUCACCAUCUUUUCCAUCUUGAGCAUCACACCCCAUGCUCAAGUAAAGACUGCGUUCCAUCAGGGUGGCAAGAAACCUACCAAGCACAGGGCCUGUCUCAAAGAAGGGCCCCCUAAGAUGACAGGUAAUGGAAUAAGCACAGUAGUCAAAGAGUGGAAGAGGGAGGACAAGGACAGAAUUUUGGAGCCUGGAGGCAGAUGAACGAAUAGAACUAACUGGACCUGAGAAGCUUUACCCUGAAACGGGCAGUGAGAGAAGAAAAUACCCAGAAAUCUCAUUUGGACUGCAGAAUCCCAGAUAAUCUCAGGAGGUGGCGAGGAUGGGUAACUGCGUCUUCUGAGUCUUUUUUUUUUGGACUGGGAAUUGAACUCAGCUUGCUAGGCAGGUGCUUGCGCCACUGAGCUAUAUCCCCGGCAGGAUGGGUAACUCUGGAAGAAGGAAUGGAGAUGACGCGAAGAUUGGUCGGAAGACAGAAAGACGCCUGUCACCUGCCCCAGACUAGCUGUGAGACCAAGCCCUUCCUUCCCCCGGGUGGAGGUGCAGUGGAGCAGAGAGCUGGGGCCAGGCAUCCAGAACUGAAAACUGGGGUUUGGGGAAAGACUACACACCAACUCUUGAGAGCCCCAGCUUCCUUCCCUUCCAGGAACCCCAGACGUGCGCAGCCAUCCCCUCCAGGCCUCACAACAAGGCAAAGCCAGAUCACUUUGCAGCGAAUCUCAAAACCAGCCUCCAUGGUACGGUUGUGCGAAAUCCCCUCCUACAAAGGAGGGCCACCAGACGUUUGGAGCAUGUAUAUAAAAGACAGAAAUCAAAACAGUAAACCAACUGAGGGGAAGCAGAUUGUACCAGGAGAAGAAGGAUCCUCAGGGACAUAAGAGACUGCUGUGCCAGGACAAAUUCCCAGAAAGCACAGCAACACAAUUAGAUGUAAAAGGAUGGAAGAGAAAUCAAGUCCAGAGGGCCAAAGAUUUGAAUAAUAGGAACUCUGGCAAUAGAGAGCAGAGAAAACCGCUAGGCAUGGUGCUCGGAAUCCCAGCACUUGGGAGGCUGAGGCAGGAGGAUGACUGUGAGUUCCAGGCCACCCUGGGCUACAUAGUGAGUUCAAGGUCAGCCCUCUCUGAGACCCAGAGAAUAGAGAAAAUGGAGGAAAAGAAGCCAUCAUGAAGUAAGUAAAGAAAAAUUUCUAGUACUAAAGUCACCAGAUCAAAAGGAGACACCAAAUGCCUAGGACAGCAGAUGAAAACAGACCCAAACCAAGCACAUCACUGUGACCUUACAGAAUAUUACAGAUGAAUAAAAAGUCAUAAAACUUUCUAGAGAGAGAGAAGAAGUUCCACAUAACAUACCAAGAAUUAGACUUCUGAACUAUGACAUUGGAAAUGAAAAGAAAAUAAAACAAAUGCCUUCAAAA